rnacentral:rRNA from 1 species
UACCUGCAGCUCAAGUGGUGACCGCUAUUAUUGGGCCUAAAACGUUCGUAGCCGGUUUGGUAAAUGCCUGGGUAAAUCGUGUAGCUUAACUAUACGAAUUCCGGGUAGACUGCUAAACUUGAGACCGGGAGAAGCUAGAGGUACUCCUGGGGUAGAGGUGAAAUUCUGUAAUCCUGGGGGGACCACCAGUGGCGAAGGCGUCUAGCUAGAACGGGUCUGACGGUGAGGAACGAAGCCCUGGGGCGCAAACCGGAUUAGAUACCCGGGUAGUCCAGGGUGUAAACGCUGCUUGCUUGAUGUUAGUUGGGCUCCGAGCCCAAUUAGUGUCGGAGAGAAGUUGUUAAGCAAGCUGCCUGGGAAGUACGAUCGCAAGAUUGAAACUUAAAGGAAUCGGCGGGGGAGCACAGCAACGGGUGGAGCGUGCGGUUU